rnacentral:rRNA from 10 species
UGUCGUCAGCUCGUGUUGUGAAAUGUUGGGUUAAGUCCCGCAACGAGCGCAACCCUUAUCCUUUGUUGCCAGCGGUCCGGCCGGGAACUCAAAGGAGACUGCCAGUGAUAAACUGGAGGAAGGUGGGGAUGACGUCAAGUCAUCAUGGCCCUUACGACCAGGGCUACACACGUGCUACAAUGGCGCAUACAAAGAGAAGCGACCUCGCGAGAGCAAGCGGACCUCAUAAAGUGCGUCGUAGUCCGGAUUGGAGUCUGCAACUCGACUCCAUGAAGUCGGAAUCGCUAGUAAUCGUGGAUCAGAAUGCCACGGUGAAUACGUUCCCGGGCCUUGUACACACCGCCCGUCACACCAUGGGAGUGGGUUGCAAAAGAAGUAGGUAGCUUAACCUUCGGGAGGGCGCUUACCACUUUGUGAUUCAUGACUGGGGUGAAGUCGUAACAAGGUAACCGUAGGGGAACCUGCGGUUGGAUCACCUCCUUACCUUAAAGAA